rnacentral:other from 1 species
GUCCACUGCCGUACAGGUAGCUUAGAAA